UACAGAGGGGGCAAGCGUUGUUCGGAAUUACUGGGCGUAAAGGGCUCGUAGGCGGCCAACUAAGUCAGACGUGAAAUCCCUCGGCUUAACCGGGGAACUGCGUCUGAUACUGGAUGGCUUGAGUACGGGAGAGGGAUGCGGAAUUCCAGGUGUAGCGGUGAAAUGCGUAGAUAUCUGGAGGAACACCGGUGGCGAAGGCGGCAUCCUGGGCCGACACUGACGCUGAGGAGCGAAAGCCAGGGGAGCAAACGGG
rnacentral:rRNA from 1 species